UACGUAGGGUGCGAGCGUUGUCCGGAAUUACUGGGCGUAAAGAGCUCGUAGGUGGUUUGUCGCGUUGUUCGUGAAAUCUCACGGCUUAACUGUGAGCGUGCGGGCGAUACGGGCAGACUGGAGUACUGCAGGGGAGACUGGAAUUCCUGGUGUAGCGGUGGAAUGCGCAGAUAUCAGGAGGAACACCAGCGGCGAAGGCGGCGCUCUGGGCCGGUACUGACACUGAGGAGCGAAAGCGUGGGUAGCAAACAGG
rnacentral:rRNA from 1 species